GGCAAGAUGGCCGAGCGGUCCAAGGCGCUAGGUUCAGGUUUACCUGACCAUCACAGUUCUCUCCAGAACUUCCUAGUCACGCAAGUGGCGUGGGUUCGAAUCCCACUCUUGUCA